GACGGAGGAUGCAAGUGUUAUCCGGAAUCACUGGGCGUAAAGCGUCUGUAGGUGGUUUAAAAAGUCUACUGUUAAAAAUUGAAGCUUAACUUCAAAGAUGCCGUAGAAACUUUUAAACUUGAGGAUGGUAGGGGUAGAGGGAAUUUCCAGUGGAGCGGUGAAAUGCGUAGAUCUUGGAAAGACCACCAAUGGCGAAGGCACUCUACUGGGCCAUGACUGACACUAAGAGACGAAAGCUAGGGUAGCAAAUGGG
rnacentral:rRNA from 1 species